GAGAAUAGUAAGCAUUGGACACAAAAUGGUUUAGGCAAAUAAUGAUGAACAAAAAUGGUCAGUCUGUGUUCCUGCUGACCCAGCACAGUGGGGACGCUGUGUAGGACAUGACCUUUGGGGGAAAGGACACAAGAACUCAGCGUGGGGGAUCCAGAAAAGAAGUCGCACGUAUUGAAGCCAGUAACGCCAAGCCAGUGAAUUCUCCUUGACGAGAAAGACCCACUUACUCUGCAGAAGAGAUAUAUGACAGCUGACAAUCCCUGGAGGAGAAUCUUUCUACUAAAUUGUAACUCCAGGUUGAAGAACUUCUACUUAUAGGCAUCUAUUCAACGAAGACGAAUCCUGGAAUGGGGAUGGAAAUGAUGGCUCAUGUCUUAGCAAACUACCAAACUGAUCCGAGAGGACAGGGAAGUCAGUGUGGGCGGCUCUAAGGAGCCUCCCUCUCUACAGCUGCGGCUCAGAGGAUUACGGCGCUUCAUCCACAAGGCAACAUUGCACAAGUAGCUUUUGAACAAAAGUCAUGGAUACUAUUAAUGAUAUGGUAAUCCUUAAUCGAGCUACCUCCCAGUAGUGAUUAUACUGACAUGGGAAGAAUAUCUAAGUCGUGGAGGCAGCCCACAACAACACUGUGUCAUUGUUCACCCCGGGCUCGACCAGGACUAACUUUUACCAGCAUCUCUAACGUCACCUUUCCCCUGAUGCCUCCCCACAACCCCUGGCCCCAGCUCCCAUUCCCGCCCCAUCAUAGCAAAAAAGUAGCAAAGAAAACCCUGAUCCUAAAUCUUUUUCUGGAUUUUUUUUUGCAAGUUCCCACACACAUUUAGUGUCGUCUCAAAAUUCACGCUGUCAACUGUCUCUAGGAAUCAUUUCCAUCUGAGAACAGACCACACAAAGCCAAGGUCCUGGAUGACUGACAACCUGAGAUUGCAGACCUCCGAGAAAUUGAAGUAGGCUCUAUAAAGUCUGGGCAGCCCCGUCUUCCAAAGGCUGCUUCUCAAGUCCACACACACACUUUGGAAGGAGAAUCCUGCUCUUGGACGU
rnacentral:lncRNA from 1 species